AUUAUACUUUAAGUUUCAAAUUAAUUAAAGUACAUUCUUAAUUAAUUUGAGGGCGAUCAUGUAGUUAAUCAAAGUACAUUCUCAAUCAAAUGCAAGACCUUUCUAGAUUAUUCACAAUAAAUUCAACCAAAGUACAUUCUCAAUCAAGUUUAUUGUGUUUAAUCAUGUAUAUUCUUAAAUCUCUUAACCAAAUUAAAAGUUAAUCAAUCAAAGUAAAUUCUUAAUUGAUUUUAGUUGAAAUUAUUACUACCAACCAAAGUACAUUCUCAAUUGAUAGUAAAAACCAUUUAAUCAUAUGAAAGUUCCUAAACUAAAUCAAAGUAGAUUCUCAAUUAAACCUAGAAACCCUAGAACUCAUAUAAUUAAUAUGCAUGUAGAUUCAAACACAUAAUGAUGCAAAANUCUUUGCUUUUAAUAUGAUAGAGAGAUGAAAGACAUAGAGAGAGAUCAACUUAAAUCAAUAAUCAAAAUAAACAAUUGCAUUAAUUCACUUAACCUCAGAAUCCAUAAUGAAAUUACAGCAGAAUAGCCCUAGGAGCUUAGAAACACAUAAUGAAAGACAAGUAAAUGCAGUGGUGGAUGAAUGAACGAAUGAAGCUCUCCCUUUUCAACCUCCC
rnacentral:lncRNA from 1 species